AAAAGAUAUUUCAAUGGCAGAGAUAAAUGGGAUGGUGUGCCCUCAAAGGCUGUGCUUCUCCACUGGCCAUAAAAGGAGCUUUGGUAACUAGCUCAGGUUUAGCUUGCAGUGGAACUUCCUGUGGGAACAGGUCAUUUCAAGGCAGAAAUUCAAGUACCUUGGAGCAAUCACUGGUUUUGAAGAGACUGCUUCUAUCAUUUAUGGUGGAAAGGACAAGUUUAAGAAGGACAAACCCCUUCAAGCUGUUCUUCAACACAGAAAUUGAAGUCACGAAGAUUUAUCUUUGUAAUCCCUGCCUCCACUUUGCUUGCCUGCCUCGUUGGGAUGUAGGCUGCCUGCUUUCUCAGUGUUCAGCACAGCUCCCACUGCCUACAGUUUGCAGUGGCACUUCUACAAAUUACACUCCUCCGUACCAAGCACCACGAAAAACAGAAUUAACAACCACUGUGCGAAGGGACUCGUAUCACACAGGAAAUCUGUGGCAAAGACAGGGAUAUGACUUGGUUCCGCAGAGCUGCACUCAUGCCUUAAUCAUGAAAACAUGUUCUCCUCUCUGCAGUUGUCUGCUUCAUUCACUGUCCUUCCAACAGCUGCAGGAGUACAGGUUGUACAGAGCACAUUCCCUGUUCCUGUGCCGGGAUUCGUCCUCCAGCACCGGUUCUUUCUGUGCGCUACACAACACGGGAGGCCACGGAAAACUCCCUCUGCCCAAAGGGAUCUCACAGUUCCCUCUGCCCCACCACCAGCACAAUCCACCAGAGCCCUGGUCCUUUUUUCUGCCUCUUAUGCCACCAUGAGAGUUGGGUGCAUGGGAGCGAUGGGAUUCCCGAUCCAAUUCCUGCAUGUAAUCAGGCCCGGCUGCAGCUGCAGUGAGCGGCAGGAUCAGGGAAAACUAUUUUGAACGCCAGUAGCCCCAGGGCUGGAGCAUGCCCAGAUGUUUCAUGGAAUGGCUCUGGCAGACCAGUCGCACACAGGUGUUUAUUGGCUUGAAGUAAAAGUCAGGAAUACCAGGAAUAAUUCAUCCACCACUUGGCUCUUCAAACAGAAGAGGAACGAGCACAACGUGCAAAUCGAAAGGGCAGAUAGCGGCGGCUCUGAGCUGACACACACACGCACGCUUCACCCACGGAGCUGCUUGCAGGAUGAACUUCUGAUUUUCCUGGAACAAACUCAUUUUAGUUAUGAAAACUGAUUAUGCAUAUUGUGAAAGGCAUGCAGCCAAGCAACUGUAAAACUCUGUUUUUCACUAAUAUCUAUCAUUUUUAGGAACAAAACAUGCUGCCGCUAAAUGCAAGCACAAGUCUGCUUGGAAAUGUGAUUUGCAGUUUACUUUCUCUUCAUGUUUAAAAGCUAUUCCAAAUCAAAACAGACCUAACCAGAUCAGAAGUAGCAUUGUGUACUUAGCUUAAAUACACUGAUUUUCACACUAAAAUUACUUUAAGGAACAAAGACUUGCUGUUUGUGGCAAAAAUCAAAGGAGAAAUGCAAGAAGCUUUUCCGGAGAGGUUCGCUACUCCGCUCAGCCUCUCCGUGACCUGGGCUCUGCACGAUUUAUUGGUUGUCUUUAAUAAAGCCAAAUCCAAGCACCUUCUCUGUUUUGUUACUUCCAUUUUAACACCAGCAGUAGCAGACAGACAGACAAAGUUUAGUUUUAGCCUGGGAGCUAAAAGAAAUACUUCUAACAUACAUAUGUGCUGUUACAGUCUGACUUAUAAAUGCUCAGUAGUAAAGUCAGCAGGAAUUGAGCACUAAAACUGGAGAAGAGUAAAUGGAAAGAGAUCCUGCUGUAUUUGCAGACUUGUGGUAAUAAGGAAAGCACUCCUGACUGCUCUUGGAAACUUGUCAUGUAAGUGAAUAAGGGGAGAGGUCAGGCAGUGACAGACUGCUCUGCCAGCCUGAAAUGGGGGGUUGCAUCAAACCAAAAAAACCCAAAACAUGCAUUUAACUUAAAAUGAAUGUUAUUAAAACAAAUUAUACCCAUCAUUCAGAAAUGUAAUCUGAAAGCCCCGUAACUCCUGGCUUCUGUUCAGAUGAUGUCUGGCUGUGUAUCAUCCACAAAGUAUCUUCCUGAAUCCCCAGCACCCUGGCUUCAGGAACCGCUCUAAAUCAUACCAAGUUCUGAUGAUUCUGAUGUCAUUUUCUAAGCUUUAAGUAUUCUUGCAAGUGACAUCAAUCAUGACUCAACCUGGCCUCUCCUGACAUUAUGACAAAGGCUCCUAUUUUUAAAUUUUCAGACAAAUACAGCUUGUAUAACUUUAUUUUUUUGCCAAAGAUAUGUCAGUUCGAAUCUCGCUAUUCCAAGCAUAUUCUGUUCUUUUGGGAUACUUGUCAGCUGGCCUAUUUAUAUCAGGUUUGUAAGAAAUUAAAUGUUUUUCUAGAAGCAAAAUAGCAGACUUGGAGAACAGAGCUUCCACCUUGCAUUAUUAAUAGAAUUUGUGAAAAUCUGUGGUUAUAUUGUCAAGAAGCAUAGAGACUAAUUGCACAGAGCCAACAAUUCACUCAGCGUGGUGGUUAAAAUGCAUAAAUGGAUAAAAAUGAUUUGUAUUAGUGCCUGCAGUCUCUUGUAAAUGUCAAAUACUUUCUUGACAUUCUAAAACCCAGGCUGUACAGCAAAAGUGGGAGAGUAGCAUUUUGUAUUA